rnacentral:rRNA from 1 species
UACGAAGGGGGCUAGCGUUGCUCGGAAUCACUGGGCGUAAAGGGUGCGUAGGCGGGUUUUUAAGUCAGAGGUGAAAUCCUGGAGCUCAACUCCAGAACUGCCUUUGAUACUGAAAGUCUUGAGUAUGGGGAGAGGUGAGUGGAACUGCGAGUGUAGAGGUGAAAUUCGUAGAUAUUCGCAAGAACACCAGUGGCGAAGGCGGCUCACUGGCCCAUAACUGACGCUGAGGCACGAAAGCGUGGGGAGCAACAGG